ACCAUUAUCUUCUAAAGAAAUAAACAGUUCGUAGUGACCUGCGGAGGAUCAUUAAUGAUUAACUGUCUGUCGAGCUUGCUCACAGACUUAUCAUAUCCAUAACACCUGGUGCACUUGUCGGAUGGGUUAGUGAAGACCGCAAGGUUGGAACUAUCCAUCUACUUUACAUAACAAUUUAGUAACAAAUGUAGUCUUAUUAUAACAUAAUAAAACUUUCAACAACGGAUCUCUUGGGUCUCGCAUCGAUGAAGAACGCAGCGAAAUGCGAUAAGUAAUGUGAAUUGCAGAAUUCAGUGAAUCAUCGAAUCUUUGAACGCACCUUGCGCUCCCUGGUAUUCCGGGGAGCAUGCCUGUUUGAGUGUCAUGAAAACCCUCAACCUUAGAUUGGUUAACACCUUUCUUUGGGUUGGAUUUGGACGUUUGCCGAUGAUAAGUCGGGUCGUCUUAAAAGUAAUAGCUGGAUCUGUCUCGCGACAUGGUUUGACUUGGGGUAAUAAGUAUUUCGCUAAGGACAUCUUCGGAUGGGCGCGUUGCAAGACUAAAGACCGCUUUCUAAUCCAUUGAUCUUCGGAUUAAUAUUCUUGACAUCUGGGGCUCAAAUCACGUAGGACUACCCGCUGAACUUAAGCAUAUAAAGGGGGGGGAGGAGAGGAAAGAA
rnacentral:rRNA from 1 species